rnacentral:rRNA from 1 species
UACGUAGGGUGCAAGCGUUGUCCGGAAUUAUUGGGCGUAAAGAGCUCGUAGGCGGCUUGUCGCGUCUGCCGUGAAAACCCAGGGCUCAACUCUGGGCGUGCGGUGGGUACGGGCAGGCUAGAGUGCGGUAGGGGAGAUUGGAAUUCCUGGUGUAGCGGUGAAAUGCGCAGAUAUCAGGAGGAACACCGGUGGCGAAGGCGGAUCUCUGGGCCGAUACUGACGCUGAGGAGCGAAAGCGUGGGGAGCGAACAGG